rnacentral:rRNA from 1 species
CCUCAGUAGUUAGAUAACAAAACUACUCGCCAGAAUACUACAAGCUAUAGCUUAAAACUCAAAGGACUUGACGGUGCUUUACACCCCCUAGAGGAGCCUGUUCCGUAAUCGAUAAACCCCGAUCCACCCCACCCUCUCUUGCUCAGCCUAUAUACCGCCAUCUUCAGCAAACCCUAAUGAGGGUCACAAAGUGAGCGCAAAUGCCAUCGCCGCAAACACGUUAGGUCAAGGUGUAGCCCAUGAGACGGUAAAAAAUGGGCUACAUUUUCUACCUCAGAAAAUUCCACGAAAACCCUUAUGAAAUCUAAGGGUCCAAGGAGGAUUUAGCAGUAAAUUAAGAAUAGAGUGCUUAAUUGAACCAGGCCAUAAAGCG